rnacentral:rRNA from 1 species
GACGAACGCUGGCGGCGUGCUUAACACAUGCAAGUCGAGCGGUAAGGCCCUUUCGGGGGUACACGAGCGGCGAACGGGUGAGUAACACGUGGGUGACCUGCCCUCAGCUCUGGGAUAAGCCUGGGAAACCGGGUCUAAUACUGGAUAUGACUCCAUGACGCAUGUUGUGGGGUGGAAAGCCUUGUGCGGCUGAGGAUGGGCCCGCGGCCUAUCAGCUUGUUGGUGGGGUGAUGGCCUAACCAAGGCGACGACGGGUAGCCGGCCUGAGAGGGCGACCGGCCACACUGGGACUGAGACACGGCCCAGACUCCUACGGGAGGCAGCAGUGGGGAAUCUUGCGCAAUGGGCGAAAGCCUGACGCAGCGACGCCGCGUGA